GUUGAUUAGGGUAUUUAGCUGUUAACUAAAAUUUCGUGGGAUGGUAGCCCACCAAUCUNG
rnacentral:tRNA from 1 species